GGCUCAGGAUGAACGCUAGCGGGAGGCCUAACACAUGCAAGUCGAGGGGCAGCACGUCUUCGGAUGGUGGCGACCGGCGCACGGGUGCGUAACGCGUAUGUAACUUGCCUAUAACUGGAGAAUAGCCCCAAAGAAAUUUGGAUUAAUGCUCCAUAGUAUUAUUAAACUGCAUGGUUUGAUAAUUAAAGCAUUGCGGUAUAAGAUGGGCAUGCGUCCUAUUAGCUAGAUGGUGAGGUAACGGCUCACCAUGGCUACGAUAGGUAGGGGGCCUGAGAGGGUGGUCCCCCACACUGGUACUGAGACACGGACCAGACUCCUACGGGAGGCAGCAGUGAGGAAUAUUGGUCAAUGGGCGCAAGCCUGAACCAGCCAUGCCGCGUGCAGGAAGAAUGCCCUAUGGGUUGUAAACUGCUUUUAUUUGGGAAUAAACCUCUUUACGUGUAGAGAGCUGAAGGUACCAAAUGAAUAAGCACCGGCUAACUCCGUG
rnacentral:rRNA from 1 species